rnacentral:rRNA from 1 species
UACAGAGGGGGCAAGCGUUGUUCGGAAUCACUGGGCUUAAAGGGUGCGUAGGCUGUGCAGAAAGUUGGGUGUGAAAUCCCUCGGCUUAACCGAGGAACUGCGCCCAAAACUACUGUGCUUGAGUGAGAUAGAGGUGAGCGGAACUUAGGGUGGAGCGGUGAAAUGCGUUGAUAUCCUAAGGAACACCGGUGGCGAAAGCGGCUCACUGGGUCUCAACUGACGCUGAUGCACGAAAGCUAGGGUAGCGAACGGG